rnacentral:rRNA from 1 species
AGUGACGAGAAAUAACGAGACCGUUCUCUACGAGGCCGGGCAUCGGAAUGGGUACAAUCUAAACCCUUUAACGAGUAUCUAUGAGAGGGCAAGUCUGGUGCCAGCAGCCGCGGUAAUUCCAGCUCUCAAAAUGCAUAGAAUCAUUGCUGCGGUUAAAAAGCUCGUAGUUGGAUUUGUGCUAUGGACUCGGUCCACUUUCGGGUGCGUACUGUGCUCCUCGGCUUUUCUGCUGGUUUUCUCGUCGUGGCUUUAAUCGGCUGCGGCGGGUGGCUGGUGAUUUUACUUUGAACAAAUCAGAGUGCUCCAAACAAGCGUUUCGCUUGAAUGUUCUUGCAUGGAAUAAUAGAAGAGGAUUUCGGUUCUAUUUUAUUGGUUUUAUAGACCGAUAUAAUGGUUAAGAGAGACAAACGGGGGCAUUUGUAUCGCUGCGUGAGAGGUGAAAUUCUUGGACCGCAGCGAGACAAACUACCGCGAAAGCAUUUGCCAAGAAUGUCUUCAUUAAUCAAGAACGAAAGUCAGAGGUUCGAAGGCGAUCAGAUACCGCCCUAGUUCUGACCGUAAACGAUGCCAACUAGCGAUCUGCCGGCGGAUUUUUUGCCCUGGUAGGGAGCUCCCCGGAAACGAAAGUUUUCCGGUUCCGGGGGAAGUAUGGUUGCAAAGCUGAAACUUAAAGGAAUUGACGGAAGGGCACCACCAGGAGUGGAGCCUGCGGCUUAAUUUGACUCAACACGGGGAAACUCACCCGGCCCGGACACCGUAAGGAUUGACAGAUUGAUAGCUUUUUCAUGAUUUGGUGGAUGGUGGUGCAUGGCCGUUCUUAGUUCGUGGAGCGAUUUGUCUGGUUUAUUCCGAUAACGAGCGAGACUCGAGCCUACUAACUAGUCUACAUAUCAAUGAUGUGUGUAGCACUUCUUAGAGGAAUUUUCGGUGUUUAGCCCCACGAGAUUGAGCAAUAACAGGUCUGUG